rnacentral:rRNA from 1 species
AGCGAACGCUGGCGGCGUGCUUAACACAUGCAAGUCGAACGAAGGCUUCGGCCUUAGUGGCGGACGGGUGAGUAACGCGUGGGAAUCUACCUUACGGCGGGGAAUAACAGUUGGAAACGACUGCUAAUACCGCAUACGCCCUUCGGGGGAAAGGCUUCGGCCACCGUUUGAGGAUCCCGCGUCCAAUUAGCUAGUUGGUAGGGUAACGGCCUACCAAGGCGACGAUCGGUAGCUGGUCUGAGAGGAUGAUCAGCCACACUGGGACUGAGACACGGCCCAGACUCC